UCCCUUCAAAUCAACAAAUGCUGCCGUCGGCAAUAGUGGGCAACAAGUUCGACGCUACCGAUAACCGGCACACUGGAUGUUCCACAUAUAAUAUACUAUAUGCAAGCACUAUGCAUUUCCAUUCCGUUCUGUUAAUCAUCGUUAUGCGACUUGUUGCAACAUUGGCUGAUCCUUCCAGCGAACCGGAAGUCGAAUGUAGCCAACCAUCAGCUUCCCCUCCACCUCCCGAUCAGCCACUUCCGGCAGGAAAAAGCCUUCCGCACGGAUAGAUUGACGCGAGCGGAAUGUCAGUCCUACGUCGCUUGGACGAACAGCAGAACGACUCUUUGCAUUCCGCUUCAGUUCCAUUUAGAUUGCGGCGAUGACGGCCGGCCGGGAUCGCUUGAAUUUGCCGGGACGUACCUCCGUGCCAACUGUCCGGGUGAGAAUCGCCGCGACACCACCCGCCUGACCAGGCACAUCCGCCGGUUCAGCCCCGACCGUGCAAUGAUUCUCCUGUUGAGCGAACGCACCGAUGCCGACGAUCCGGUGCACUUUGGCGUCAUCAGCUAAUCGAGUUGGAAGUAACGUCCUGCUUUACGCCGGAUGUCACGGCCAAAAUUCACGCUGCCGGGGCACUUCCGGAGCUGGUGACGUUGAUCUUGGAACUCGGCCGGAAUCUGGUCAUGAAGAAGCAGCACUUUGCCGGGAUGCGGCAAGUACGAAUGAUCCGCUUGUACGCCUGCACGAUCGCUUCACUGGAAGCCUACACCUUCACCGAUCUGCCCAGCCUGGACAGUCUGGCGUUGGAGAAUGGACUGGGGUUUGAUUUGCAGAGACUACAGAAAGAUUAUCAGGCCCAAGACAUGCUACCAGUUUUUCUGAAUCAAGCUGACUUUGUCAUCGUGCGUCGUCUACACUGCGACUGCUCGCUGGCGUGGUUACGCAACUUUUUGAAGCGCAAGCCACACUUGACUGCAUCUAAGAAACAAGGCCAGGUGGCGGUCAUUGGGAUCUACAUUACGCCGUCGGUUGGGCACUACUGGGAUGAGUGGCCACAUAUUUUCAGUGUGGAUUGUUCCCGGGACCUGGCGUACGAUAACAUCCGCGCUGGCACACAGUUUUCGUACAACACGUCUUGUCAUACUGCGGCGCAGUGCUAGUGGCGGUCGCCGUUCUGCUAGGUUUUCAACAUGCAACGGAAUUAUGCGCAGUAACUGCUGGCAAUUCAAAGCGCAAGGCUACUCCUGUUCUUACUUCUUCGUCUCGCAAGAACGUCCCCAGGCAUGGUGCCGGCAGCACGUUCAACCAUACUACUGAAUCUCUGCUGAACGCUGCUAAUAACACUGCUCUCCUACGCUCAUCGCCGACCUUUGACGAAAUUAGCGUCGACACAUUUCUGUCAAUCAAGGGUGUGUCCCAUACAUACCGGCACCUUCGCAUUCGCGGCUCGCAUUCUUCUGCAACAUGCACUUGGUGUUCAGUAACGAGCCCUCUAAAGCUGAUAGCAUCAGACAUUCGCCAGCCGGUGCGCAAAACCUGGAAACGAGAGACUACACACUGCCACAGAGUACAUUGAUGCCAGAAAGGCACAAACAGAUACUGACUCAGUGCGUCGCGUUCAUAAUCCACCACGCCGAACCGGUAAUGCCAUCUGCAUCCACUGGGCUUCGGAUAUGCUCACGUUGGAUAACUGCUCCACGCCCUUACGUAACAAGCCCGAUGUUUUCCCAGGUGGUCACAGCAAAGCUACUGCAUGCAUGUUGAAGGGUGUCCGCAAGGAUGUAUUGGUCAGCGUAUAGAGCAGCGCCAGGGCAUUUAACGUCAAGGCUAGUAUC